GUGGAUAUAGCUCAGCCUGGUAGAGCCCCAGAUUGUGGAUCUGGUUGUCGCGGGUUCGAAUCCCGUUAUCCACCCCA
rnacentral:tRNA from 1 species